UUCUCGCAGGAGAAACUUUGAG
rnacentral:snRNA from 1 species